UACGAACCGUGCGAACGUUAUUCGGAAUCACUGGGCUUAAAGCGCGUGUAGGCGGAUGGGAACGUCGGUGACUGAAAGCCCCCGGCUCAACCGGGGAAGUGGUGCCGAAACGACCCGUCUGGAGGGACGUAGGGGGACCUGGAACUUCCGGUGGAGCGGUGAAAUGCGUUGAGAUCGGAAGGAACGCCCGUGGCGAAAGCGAGGUCCUGGACGUCUUCUGGCGCUGAGACGCGAAAGCUAGGGGAGCGAACGGG
rnacentral:rRNA from 1 species